rnacentral:rRNA from 1 species
CUCUGUCUAGCGAGACUGCUCCUAAAAAGGGAGAGGAAGGUGGGGACGACGUCAAGUCAGCAUGGCUCUUACGCCCUGGGCUACACACACGCUACAAUGGCCGGUACAGAGGGUCGCGAUGAUGCGAGUCGGAGCUAAUCCCACAAAGCCGGCCCCAGUUGGAAUUGCAGGCUGCAACUCGCCUGCAUGAACGCGGAGUUGCUAGUAACCGCANGUCAGCACACUGCGGUGAAUACGUUCCCGGGCCUUGUACACA